AUUGAACGCUGGCGGAAUGCUUUACACAUGCAAGUCGAACGGUAGAGGGGGCAACCCCUCGAGAGUGGCGAACGGGUGAGUAAUAUAUCGGAACGUGCCCAGUCGUGGGGGAUAACGUAGCGAAAGUUACGCUAAUACCGCAUACGAUCUAAGGUUGAAAGCGGGGGAUCGCAAGACACCGCGCGAUUGGCGCGGCCGAUAUCAGAUUAGGUAGUUGGGGGGGUAAAGUCUCAGCAAGCCCACGAUCUGUAGCUGGUCUGAGAGGACGACCAGCCACACGGGAACGGAGACACGGUCCAGACUCCUACGGGAGGCAGCAGUGGGGAAUUUUGGACAAUGGACGCAAGUCUGAUCCAGCCAUUCCGCGUGCAGGAUGAAGGCCCUCGGGUUGUAAACUGCUUUUGUACGGAACGAAAAGGUCUCUCUUAAUACGGGGGACUCAUGACGGUACCGUAAGAAUAAGCACCGGCUAACUACGUGCCAGCCGCCGCAGUAA
rnacentral:rRNA from 1 species